rnacentral:rRNA from 1 species
GGCUCAGAGCGAACGCUGGCGGAAUGCUUAACACAUGCAAGUCGCACGGUCAGCAAUGGCAGUGGCGGACGGGUGAGUAACGCGUAGGAAUAUGUCCAGAGGUGGGGGACAACCCCGGGAAACUGGGGCUAAUACCGCAUAUGAGCUGAGGCUCAAAGCAGUGAUGCGCCUUUGGAGUAGCCUGCGUCCGAUUAGCUUGUUGGUGGGGUAAUGGCCUACCAAGGCGACGAUCGGUAGCUGGUCUGAGAGGACGACCAGCCACACUGGGACUGAGACACGGCCCAGACUCCUACGGGAGGCAGCAGUGGGGAAUAUUGGACAAUGGGCGCAAGCCUGAUCCAGCAAUUCCGCGUGGGUGAAGAAGGUCUUCGGAUUGUAAAGCCCUUUCGACGGGGACG